AAUUACUCUGGUAUUAUUUAUGGGGUCUAUAGCUAUGUAGGUACUUCCUCAACAGUGAGAUGAGGGUAGGGACAGCUAUAAGACAAGAUUGUAUGGCAUUUUCAGUACUGAGGAGAGGGUUGAGGGCAAAAGGAGGUUAAAUUAAAAACCUUUGCUAUGUGCAACCAUAUAUUUCCCUGUCAUGCAUUAUUAUCUUCUCGUCUCAAGUCAGAGUUGCAUAUCUGAACAGAGCAUACAAUGGUAAAGGAUAAGAACAGCUUCAUGUUGGUGGAUCAGUCGGAGUGACUUGUUUACAGUGACUGGCGUGUAUCAACGUGGCUUUUCCUUCUAGUUUCACUGAAGUAGCCGUAGUCAGGAGCACUUGGAAUGCACAGUCAAAGCGUGCUUCAAGACCUUUCCUCACAUGCCUUUAUCACCACCCAAUCCUCAGGCUGCAGUUUGUGAGUUGCAGAAUCAGAGUCUGGAUCUGGAACAGAAUCAAAGACUUGUUUAUGCACCCUGCCUAAUUUUUGGUGUAGGGCCUGUACACCAUGCUGCAUCUGAAGGGUCUAGGGAAAAUAGAGGCCUGUCUUUGGGGCACAUCCAAACAGGAUCUCCAAAGGGCCAUGUCU